rnacentral:rRNA from 1 species
UACGUAGGGCGCAAGCGUUUGUCCGGAAUUAUUGGGCGUAAAGAGCUCGUAGGCGGUUUGUCGCGUCUGCUGUGAAAUCCUCAGGCUCAACUUGGGGCGUGCAGUGGGUACGGGCAGACUAGAGUGCGGUAGGGGAGACUGGAAUUCCUGGUGUAGCGGUGGAAUGCGCAGAUAUCAGGAGGAACACCGAUGGCGAAGGCAGGUCUCUGGGCAUUAACUGACGCUGAGGAGCGAAAAGCAUGGGGGAGCGAACAGG